rnacentral:rRNA from 1 species
AUCGAACGCUGGCGGCAGGCCUAACACAUGCAAGUCGCGCGGGGUUUUCGGACCUAGCGGCGGACGGGUGCGUAAUGCGUAGGAAGCUGCCCGAUAGCGGGGGCUACUAGGUGGAAACCACUGUUAAUACCGCAUAAUGUCUACGGACCAAAGUGUGGGACCCUCGGACCCUCCGCUAAAUGAUGAGCCCCAGCCGGAUUCGCUAGUUGGUGGGGUAAAGGCCUACCAAGGCGACGAUCUGUAGCGGGUCUGAGAGGAUGAUCCGCCACACUGGGACUGAGACACGGCCCAGACUCCUACGGGAGGCAGCAGUGGGGAAUAUUGGACAAUGGGCGGAAGCCUGAUGCAGCCAUGCCGCGUGUGUGAAGAAGGCCUUUUGGUUGUAAAGCACUUUAAGCGAGGAGGAGGCUACGAGUACUAAUACUACUGGAUAGUGGACGUUACUCGCAGAAUAAGCACCGGCUAACUCUGUGCCAGCCGCCGCGGUAACAC